rnacentral:rRNA from 1 species
GACGAACGCUGGCGGCGUGCUUAACACAUGCAAGUCGAACGGUAAGGCCCUUUCGGGGGUACACGAGUGGCGAACGGGUGAGUAACACGUGGGUGAUCUGCCCUGCACUUUGGGAUAAGCCUGGGAAACUGGGUCUAAUACCGAAUAUUCCUUGCUGGUCGCAUGGCCUGGUGGGGGAAAGCUUUUGCGGUGUGGGAUGGGCCCGCGGCCUAUCAGCUUGUUGGUGGGGUGAUGGCCUACCAAGGCGACGACGGGUAGCCGGCCUGAGAGGGUGUCCGGCCACACUGGGACUGAGAUACGGCCCAGACUCCUACGGGAGGCAGCAGUGGGGAAUAUUGCACAAUGGGCGCAAGCCUGAUGCAGCGACGCCGCGUGAGGGAUGACGGCCUUCGGGUUGUAAACCUCUUUCAAUAGGGACGAAGCGCAAGUGACGGUACCUAUAGAAGAAGCACCGGCCAACUACGUGCCAGCCGCCGCAGUAACAC